rnacentral:rRNA from 1 species
AACGAACGCUGGCGGCAUGCCUAACACAUGCAAGUCGAACGAGAUCUUCGGGUCUAGUGGCGCACGGGUGCGUAACGCGUGGGAAUCUGCCCUUUGGUUCGGAAUAACAGUUGGAAACGACUGCUAAUACCGGAUGAUGACGAAAGUCCAAAGAUUUAUCGCCAGAGGAUGAGCCCGCGUAGGAUUAGCUAGUUGGUGUGGUAAAGGCGCACCAAGGCGACGAUCCUUAGCUGGUCUGAGAGGAUGAUCAGCCACACUGGGACUGAGACACGGCCCAGACUCCUACGGGAGGCAGCAGUGGGGAAUAUUGGACAAUGGGCGAAAGCCUGAUCCAGCAAUGCCGCGUGAGUGAUGAAGGCCUUAGGGUUGUAAAGCUCUUUUACCCGGGAUGAUAAUGACAGCACCGGGAGAAUAAGCUCCGGCUAGCUCCGUGCCAGCAGCCGCCGUAA